CUGGACUCUCCAGUUUUCCUCUUCAGAGCCACAGCAAUACAGAACAAGACAUGCAGGUCAGAAGAGGAGCACUGAGGAAGUAAAAGGAAACAAUACAGGGUAAUAACUAAGUCUAACCUGUGCUUCUAAAGUAAAAUAAACCCAGAAAGGAGGAAGUGAAGCAGCACCUUUGUCCAUAGACCUCCACACUCGUGGAAGCAGCCACACCGCCUUAUCUACUGGCAACUGUGCUGCUUGGAAGGAAACAGAAGAGGAAACUCAGCACAAAGCAGGCACUAGAUACAGCAAAGCCAAGAACAUACUAAAAACCACUUGUUAACAGCUGACAUGCAUUCACAAGCUCUGUGUUUUCGGUUUCAAAGAGGACAAAUGCCAGAUGGCAGGAAUGGUAAACUGCAGGGUUGACAUUCCAGCAGAGCUAGUCACUCUGUACUGUCUUGCGUUUUCUCCCGCCUCCCCAUUCCCUCUCAACACCAAGCUCAGUCGUGCUCCUUUACUACUUCCUCUCGGGGCUUGGCUCCACCAAAGAUAGCAGAAUUUGGGUUGGCUACUUGAUUGAGGGGAGUACCAACUGUUCGAGGUUUGAGCUGAAGUCGGGGUCGCUGUGCUCUUUCCUCUUCCGUUGGCUCUCUGAAGUCCAUGGAAGAGCCACGAAGGGGAGGCCCAUCUCGGAAACGACCAGUGCCACCACUUCCCAUUGAGGCACCUGGUGGUCGUCGGUCUCCAAGGCGAGCUCCUCUACCCCGGCCUCCCAGGAAAUCAUCAUCUUUGAAUCCUCUGUCAUCAGGUCCACCUUUUCUGAAACCAAAGCCACCUUUAUCCUGUUUUCUGCCUUCUGCUAUGUCCACUCGGAGUGAUCGGUCACCCAAAAGUGCACCAUCAUAUGUAAGAGCUUCCUUGAGUGACUCCACUUCAUCGAAC
rnacentral:lncRNA from 1 species